AUGUCCACCGACGACGAGCUCCGCGGCCUCCUGGUGCAGGAAUCCACCGCCGCGAUCGUCUCCGGCGCCGACCCCUCCAGCCCCACCGCCCGAUCCGCCCACUUCCUCCUCCCCCGCGCGGGGGCUGCUCCCGUCCCCGCUCUGCCACCCCCGCCACGCAAUGCCGACCCUGUUCCUCCUGCCGACGAGCUCACGGUGGAGUGGACGGACUGGCCCGGCUGCUCCAAGCUGUGGAGGCGGUGGGUGGCCAAGCUUCGCCCCCGGCACGAGCGCAUGUGGCGGAAGCUUGGGAUCUUGGACGGCCUUCUCGCGACCACGGGCUGGGUGCGGUGGGACGAGGACCUGCUGCUGCAGCUCGCGGGUUUCUGGUCCGGCGAGACCAACACGUUCCUCUUCCCGUGGGGUGAGGCCACGGUGACGCUGGAGGACAUGGCCGUGCUCGGGGGCCUGCCCCUGCUGGGCGGGCCGGUGUGGUCGCGGCUCCCGGACGAGCUCCGCGGGGACGUGGACGCGCUCGAAGCCGUCCGGAUCGCGCUCAACUGGAGCAAGAGCAAGAAAGUCAAUUAUACCUUGUGGAUUAAGCACUUCAUCGAGGAGAACGGUGCCGGUGCCGGUGCCGGUGCCGCUGGCGACGGCAGAGGAGAGGCCGAGGUGGCCACAUUGCUCGAGCACGGGGCGUUUCUGGCCAUGUGGUUGACCAGAUACGUGCUUCCGGUGGAGUCAUUCGACGUGGUCAGAGCGGACGUGCUCCCCCUCGCCGCCGGACUGGCGCGCGGCAGGUGCUCGGCCCUCGCACCUGCCGUACUUGCCAACAUCUACAAUGACCUCUCCGCGCUCAGUCACCACUUAAGCUUGGGCGCCAGCCAUCAGCCGUUCGUGGCCAGUGCGCCACUGCACAUCCUCCAGCUAUGGGUCUGGGAGCGCUUCCCGGAGCUUUGCCCUGCCAUCAACUCCCACGAUGGCGAUCCCGGCAUGCCGAGGGCUGCCAAGUGGUACAAUAUCAGAAGGAUGCUUGACCCUGGGCACAUCCAUGCAGUGUUCAUGUCCCCGGAGGCAUUCCAAUGGAGGCCUUACGGAGGCAGUAGCAUUGCUCUGCCACCAGGCAAGGGUGGCUGCUGGGUGCACUGCCAUGAAGUAGCAACAAGCAAGGAAUUGCAAUCCUUCGCGCAAUGCCUCCGACCUUGCGAACUUGUCGGCAUGCAAUGCAUCGAGCAGUACUGUCCGCACCGCGUCGCAAGGCAGCUCGGCUUCGACCAGGACGUGCCUGGGACUGUUGCCCGUGCCAACUCAAGUCGAAAGACGGCGUGGGCGACAUACAAGAUGCAGCCUGAAAAUGUUUCGCUCUUCGUUCCGCAGCGCGAUCCGGGCGUGACGGUUGAAUACGCACAAUGGUGGCAGCAAUACUCGUCGGCAUGCGCUGCUGCCAUUGCUAAUGCUGCAAGGAUGAAACAACUUCAUGUUACUGUUGUAGGAUGCGGUAAAAAGCGGCACUUGGAGGCUGGGAUGAGCCUGCAAGAUGAUACAGAGCAGGACGAGAUUCUGCUGGAAGAGACGCAUAUUCUGGAAGAUGACACGGCAAAGCAAAAUUCAGAAACCGUGAAGGAUUUUGUGCCAAGAUGGGCAGGAAAAGGUAGGCGUAGGGCAAUUUCACGCAAAGUUGCUGAGAAAGCUAUCUCUGAUGCAGAGGCAAUUUUGGUGAGUGAAUUUGAUAAACCACUGUGUGGGCCGGUCACCAAGAAUGAGCAUUUUCAAAAGCAAGCAUCAGGCUCGGUUGUUACGUAUGAUGAAAAGAAUCUCAGUUCAGAACAUGGUGAAGUCAAGGGUGCAGCGAGCGCUAGAAGCAACAAAGGCAUUGGAGCUGCAAUUGGAGCGGACAUGUAUUCAAAUCUUCCAGACAUCUUGGCUAUCAGUGGUAAUGAGUUGGAUGAAAUAUUCAGAAAGGAUAGCGAGGCGAGCGCAAUUUAUAUGGAAUUGUCCAAGUUGACGAUGGCAACAUCCAACUCAGAUCGGCCAAAUGAAGAAUUCGAACGACAUCUGGUCACCAUAAGAAGAGAUGAGCAGGACUGCAGCGAGUCCAAGGAUAUCAUGGUGCCAAAAAACUGUGAUUAUGAGCUUCCUGCUGCCCAAAGUGAUAGCACCCUCAGACAAGGACCAGUUAAUAAAGUAACUCAUGCCAUUAAUGUUCAAACUAAUGUUGAUGUCUUAGAAGGACGCAUUGAUGAAAUGCAGGCACGCAAUGUAAUGGCAGAGGGAGAUCAGAGAGCGAAGGUGGACAGACAAAACUCAACUGUUUUCAAAGGAAACAAUGAUGAUGCAUCUUAUAAUGGUCUAGCACAUGGAAAUAAUGAACUGGGCAAGAGAGUCAUUUCUACUAAAACACUCUACUAUCUUAGACCAUUCGAGCGGGUGAAAGAUGCUCAGGUCAGAGAUUCAAGAGCCACCAAUGCAGGUCAAGUAAUUUUCCAACCAGGACGGGAAGUCGGAACAACGGAAAUGAUUAGAGAGGCGUCUCAAGCUCGAGAAGCAGAAAAGGUUGAAUUGGAAACAAUAAUUGAUCAUCUUAAGAAACAAGUGGUGGCGCUAGAGGUGCAGUUGCGGGACAGGAGAACCUAG
rnacentral:rRNA from 1 species